rnacentral:rRNA from 1 species
UACGUAGGGGGCAAGCGUUGUCCGGAAUUACUGGGCGUAAAGCGCGUGUAGGCGGGACGGCAAGUCGGUCGUGAAAGGCUUCGGCUCAACCGGAGAAGGCCGAUCGAAACUGUCGUUCUUGAGGGUCGAAGAGGAGAGUGGAAUUCCUGGUGUAGCGGUGAAAUGCGUAGAGAUCAGGAGGAACACCCGUGGCGAAGGCGGCUUUCUGGACAGAUACCGACGCUGAGGCACGAAAGCUAGGGGAGCAAACAGG